UCCACUUGAUAAACAUGUGGGUAUGACUGUUUACAGUCCGCCCAUCUCUGUCAUUUUCACUUAUUUUUAGACGCAGCGCAACCAGACUUAUUUUUAUCAAUCAAACCGGUAGCACCGAUUUUUGACACUAAUCAUUUUUCUGAAUGGGCGGAAAAGCUGCGCAAUGAAAUUAGCAAUUAACCCAGUUAUUUGGGCGAUUUAAUCUGGAAGUGUCGAAGUGACCCCGUGGUGACCCCUCGUUAUCAGCGGUUGAUCUAGUCUCUCUCUACACAUUCUUACAACAUAUAGUUGGUUCUCAACUGUAACAGCUAUACUUAGUUGGAUGGAUAACUACAAAGAAUUCCAUCAUGAAAUUUUAUUGCGUACAUAGUGAACAAAAAUGGCUAUAUGUUGCGCGCUUUUUGCAACCAUUCUUUCUUAUUGCAAUUGUGGAUUCUUUUAAUGUAAUUACGGACGCCAAUUACUCGAAUUUCUUUUUCAAGAAUCUUAAGCCGCGUUCACACAAUUGAAUUUCGCGUUGAAAAAUCCCACACCACCUGUGCCUCCGCUGCUGACCCUAGACAUCUGUCAAGUGUAACAAGUCAUUUACCAACCGGAAAAACUAGUGAUUUUAUUGAGUCUACAACUACAACUAUGAAUGAAUUUAGUCGGGUAAUGGUGCCAAUACAGUCACCAUGUCUACGUGAUUUUAACGAAAAAGUGAAAUUUCGAUUCGAAUCCUUGACCUUCAGAAUUAUUUAUGGUCAUAUAUGGCGCGCUCGGAAGAUUUUAUUCAUUCCUAAUUAGCUUACGUAACUCUCCAAAUAUUUAGGGAUAAAUUAUGGAUUCACACUAAAUGCAUUGCAUAUCCAAACAGUAUUUGCCAAACCGUUCGCCAAAUGUUCCCAAAAGUGGAGAAACAAUUAAGGAAAUGCCUCUAACUUUGGUGAUCGUUUCUAGCUUCAAAUGUGGAACUUUUUCUUACGAGAUUCGUCAAAAAAGUUUUGCUCAAGAAGCCCUUCUUAGUAUAAACUUUCAGCUAACGUUUUAAUUCAAUAAAUUGUUUGCGAAGUUUAUUCAUUGUUCUCUUAGUAAUAAAUUAAAUACAACAUCUACCUAUAAUUUGUAAUAUUUUACUUUUUAUAGUACAAUCAAAAAUAUCGAUUCAAACGUUCCCAAUGUUUUUUUAAAAGCUUGAGCUUCAUCAAUUUUUUUAAUUGUAUAACUUUGACUGUUAUUGUUUUAAUUGUUGACAAUUUUAACAAAGUUAUUUAUUCAUAAACAUUGAAGUCGUUGAUGUUAGUUUGUACACCUGAUGUUUUUAGGCAAUUGUAAUUUAUUGGGUAGGUAUUAUACCUGUGUAACUGUAAUAUAAAGAAAAUCCACCGUUUCUAAUUAUUUUUUCUGGGGAGAUUGAAAAGUCUUGGUACUCAUAAGCAGACAAAACAAUUUUUUGUCUUUCUAAUCUAAUUUUAACGGCUAAUAAAAAAUAUUAUAACUUUUA